rnacentral:rRNA from 1 species
AGAGUUUGAUCCUGGCUCAGGAUGAACGCUAGCGGCAGGCUUAACACAUGCAAGUCGAGGGGCAGCGGGUGUAGCAAUACAUGCCGGCGACCGGCGCAAGGGUGCGUAACGCGUGAGCAAUCUGCCCGUAUCAGGGGGAUAAGCGAUGGAAACGUCGUCUAAUACCGCAUAACAACUGAGGAGGCAUCUUCUUAGUUUGAAAGCUUCGGUGGAUACGGAUGAGCUCGCGAGACAUUAGUUAGUUGGCGGGGUAACGGCCCACCAAGACCGCGAUGUCUAGGGGAACUGAGAGGUUGGUCCCCCACACUGGAACUGAGAUACGGUCCAAACACCUACGGGUGGCAGCAGUUUCGAAUCAUUCACAAUGGGCGAAAGCCUGAUGGUGCGACGUCGCGUGGAGGAUGAAGGUCUUCGGAUUGUAAACUCCUGUCAUCGGUGAGCAAAAGGUCGGUGAAGAAUCGAUUUUGAGUUAAGCCGAAGAGGAAGCAGUGGCAAACUCCGUGCCAGCAGCCGCGGUAAUACGGAGACUGCGAGCGUUACUCGGAAUUACUGGGCGUAAAGGGUGCGCAGGCGGUUGUGUGUGUCGAGUCUGGAAGUCGGUGACUUAAUCAUCGUGAGGACUCGAAACUGCACGACUUGAGUAUCGGAGGGGUAAGCGGAAUUCCGUGAGUAGCAGUGAAAUGCGUAGAUAUACGGAAGAACACCAAAGGCGAAGGCAGCUUACUUGACGAAUACUGACGCUCGGGCACGAAAGCGUGGGGAGCGAAAAGGAUUAGAUACCCUUGUAGUCCACGCCGUCAACAUUGUACACUAGGUCUCGGUAUGUCGAUCGUAUCGGGAUCCAAGCUAACGUGAUAAGUGUACCGCCUGAGGACUACGGCCGCAAGGCUAAAACUUAAAGGAAUUGACGGGGACCCGCACAAGCGGUGGAGCAUGUGGCUUAAUUCGAUGCAACGCGAAGAACCUUACCAAGACUUGACAUGUAGAGGACAGGGUAUGAAAGUACCUCUUUCUUCGGGACCUUUACACAGGUGCUGCAUGGCUGUCGUCAGCUCGUGUCGUGAGAUGUUCGGUUAAGUCCGGCAACGAGCGCAACCCUUGUCCUUAUUUGCCAGCGCGUUACGGCGGGAACUAUAAGGAGACAAACUUUUAAAGUGGGAAGGUGGGGAUGACGUCAAGUCAGUAUGGCCCUUACGUCUUGGGCUGCACACGUGCUACAAUGCCCGGUACAAAGGGAUGCAAGGUCGCGAGACGGAGCAAAUCCUCAAAGCCGGGCUCAGUUCGGAUUGAAGUCUGCAAUUUGACUUCAUGAAGUCGGAAUCGCUAGUAAUGGUAUAUCAGCUACGGUACCGUGAAUACGUUCCCGGGUCUUGUACACACCGCCCGUCAAGUCAUGAAAGCCUGUUUUACCCAAAGUACGCUCAGCCAACCGCAAGGGGGCGGCGUCCUAAGGUAGGGCGGGUGAUUGGGACUAAGUCGUAACAAGGUAGCC